GAUGAAGAACGUAGCGAAAUGCAAUAAGUAAUGUGAAUUGCAGAGUUCAGUGAAUCAUCGAAUCUUUGAACGCACAUUGCGCCCGUCAGUAUUCUGACGGGCAUGCCUGUCCGAGCGUCAUUUCAACCCUCAAGCACUGCUUGGCGUUGGCGGAUUGCGUGCCCUCGCGGCGCUGCAACCGCCCAAAUACAGUGGCGGUCCCGCUGCGGCUCCCUUUGCGUAGUAACUCACCUCGCACUGGACCGGGCGGCGGCCUGCCGUAAAACCCCAACUCACGAAAUGUUGACCUCGGAUCAGGUAGGAAUACCCGCUGAACUUAAGCAUAUCAAUAAGCGGAGGA
rnacentral:misc_RNA from 1 species